AUGAACUGAUUGAUUGUUUUCUAAAAACAUAAUUUUCAGAUGAGCAAAAUGCACGCAGAAAAUGUAAAAUUAUGGAAAUUUUUCAAAUGUUCAAAUUUCUAAAUGGAUAUUAAUUUGUGAAAUCAAAAUUUUAAAUAAAAUUAUGGUUUUUAAUAUGAAAUAAAAACGAUUUGUGCAGUUUAUAAGA